rnacentral:rRNA from 1 species
GGAUCAGUAAGUUGGUCGUGCCUUUGGUACGUACUGGCUUACUGGUUCCUCCUUCUUGAAGAACUGUAAUGUCAUUAAUUUGGUGUUGCAGGGAAACAGGACUGUUACUUUGAAAAAAUUAGAGUGUUUAAAGCAAGCAAACGCUUGAAUACAUUAGCAUGGAAUAAUGAAAUAGGACGUUCGAACCUAUUUUGUUGGUUUCUAGGAUUGACGUA